rnacentral:rRNA from 1 species
UCCGUAGGUGAACCUGCGGAAGGAUCAUUAGUGAAUAUUAGGACGUUCAAUUUAACUUGAAGUCCGAACUCUCACUUUCUAACCCUGUGCAUUUGUUUUGGCUAGUAGGAUAUUUCGGUAUCCGAACACCUCUUCAUUUACAAACACUAAGUCUAUGAAUGUUUAAAUUUUAUAACAAAAUAAAACUUUCAACAACGGAUCUCUUGGCUCUCGCAUCGAUGAAGAACGCAGCGAAAUGUGAUAAGUAAUGUGAAUUGCAGAAUUCAGUGAAUCAUCGAAUCUUUGAACGCAUCUUGCACUCUCUGGUAUUCCGGAGAGUAUGCCUGUUUGAGUGUCAUGAAUUCUUCAACCCUCCCUUUUCUUAGUGAAUUGAGAGGUGUUUGGAUUCUGAGUGUUGCUCCUAACCCGAGCUCAUUCGUAAUGCAUUAGCAUCCAUAUUCGAAUUUCGGAUUGACUUGGCGUAAUAGACUAUUCGCUGAGGAAUCUAACUUCGGUUAGAGCCGUGUUUGAACUAGGAAGCUACUAAUCUAGCUUAGUCUACCUUUAGAUUAGACCUCAAAUCAGGCAGGAUUACCCGCUGAACUUAAGCAUAUCAAUAAGCGGAGGAAAAG